rnacentral:rRNA from 1 species
GUGGGGAAUUUUGGACAAUGGGCGAAAGCCUGAUCCAGCAAUGCCGCGUGUGUGAAGAAGGCCUUCGGGUUGUAAAGCACUUUUGUCCGGAAAGAAAUCUGUCUGGCUAAUACCUAGAUGGGAUGACGGUACCGGAAGAAUAAGCACCGGCUAACUACGUGCCAGCAGCCGCGGUAAUACGUAGGGUGCGAGCGUUAAUCGGAAUUACUGGGCGUAAAGCGUGCGCAGGCGGUUUUGUAAGACCGAUGUGAAAUCCCCGGGCUUAACCUGGGCACUGCAUUGGUGACUGCAAGGCUAGAGUGCGUCAGAGGGGGGUGGAAUUCCGCGUGUAGCAGUGAAAUGCGUAGAGAUGCGGAGGAACACCGAUGGCGAAGGCAGCCCCCUGGGAUGACACUGACGCUCAUGCACGAAAGCGUGGGGAGCAAACAGGAUUAGAAACCCCGGUAGUCC